UAGCAAGCCUGCUACACUCUCUGAGUACCUGUAAAAUCCCCUACAUGAUCAUACAUGUUCUGUAAAAACAUAAAAUUUUGCUCUGAACCAAGGUUCAACCUGUGCAUGCACUAUCUCUGUACUACAGAACCCCUUACUAGAGCUUGCUCUAGACGGGUUAAACUCAUACAUGUUAAGCCUGGUUUUCACAUACUCAUAAAAACAUUUACAUAAAACAAAUCAUG
rnacentral:lncRNA from 1 species